CCGCGGCUCCGCUUAGCUAGGUGGCUGCCUCCAUGUCCUCCCUCGAACCAUCUGAUAGUUUUAAGCGGUGACAGGAGCAGAAAAGACCCCUGUAGCGGCGCUUCAUUAAUGUGCCACUUCUUAGCUAUCAUAUGACAAUCGCCUUGGGAGGAGGAGGAAGAGGAGGGGGAGCGGGGGCUGCAGAGGGAGGGGACUGAGCGAGAGGGGAGAGCCUGGCCAGCUCUCAUUUCUUUCACACCUAUUUACAUGGACACCUUGGCCAAUAGGAAUCACUUCCAGCUCAAGACUGAGCGUGGGGGAAGAGCCUCGGCCACCGGAGGGGAGCAGGACGCGCUGGUCAGGGUGCACGGUGUGAAGGUUUCUCCUCAGCCUGCUCAUUGAGGAAAGACCACUUGCUCACAGUGCCCAAGGUAAGCUCACUUUCUCUCCACCCCCAACUUAAUUUUUUUGCUCUCUGCCACCCACAGAUAUCUUGUCAUCCUCCAAGGCCUAGUUUACUUCCUGGCCCCAUACCCAUGCAGGAAACAUUCACUUGCAUUCCCCAGGGUCCUAACUUUGAUGAAUCUGGGGAGACAGAACAUACUGGGAUCUCAACCAAAGGACCAAGAGAGGAGGAAUAAAUCAGGACCAUGGGCAGGGCCUGGAGAAAGGCACGUGGGCACAGGGGCUGCUGGCCUCUGCAGGUCUAGCCCAGGGUAUGAAAUGCUGAGCCUGCAGUAGCUCAAAAUAUGGCUGGUCCUGGUGCUGUCCAGGGUACCCAUUUUGGCAAUCAGAGCAUAGCAGCCUGAGUAGGCUAGGUGCUGGUGGUCCUGAGGGUUAGGGGCAGAGGUUGAAAGAUUGUGGUCCUGGGUGAUACUCUUUUCCCUCUUUUCCUCAAAUGUUCAUCUUUCUCCUCCAGAUCCCGGGUUUGAUCCCUAGACUCACAUGGCUUAAGGAUCCAGUGUUGCUAUGAGCUGCAGUGUAGGUUGCAGAUGAGGUUUGGAUCCCACAUUGCUGUGGCUGUGGCAUAGGACAGCAGCUGCAGCUCUGAUUCCACCCCUAGCCUUGGAACUUCCAUAUGCUGCAGGUGAAAUACACACACACACACACACACACACACACACAUACACACCUACAUGGGCUGCAGCACAGAGACAUGUAACUGACUGCUGGGCUAAACCCA
rnacentral:lncRNA from 1 species